rnacentral:rRNA from 1 species
GACGAACGCUGGCGGCGUGCUUAACACAUGCAAGUCGAACGGAAAGGCCCUGCUUUUGUGGGGUGCUCGAGUGGCGAACGGGUGAGUAACACGUGAGUAACCUGCCCUUGACUUUGGGAUAACUUCAGGAAACUGGGGCUAAUACCGGAUAGGAGCUCCUGCUGCAUGGUGGGGGUUGGAAAGUUUCGGCGGUUGGGGAUGGACUCGCGGCUUAUCAGCUUGUUGGUGGGGUAGUGGCUUACCAAGGCUUUGACGGGUAGCCGGCCUGAGAGGGUGACCGGGCACAUUGGGACUGGGAUACGGACCAGACUCCAACGGGAGGCAGCAGUGGGGAAUAUUGCACAAUGGGCGGGAGCCUGAUGCAGCAACGCCGGGUGCGGGAUGACGGCCUUCGGGUUGUAAACCGCUUUCGCAUGUGACGAAGCGUGAGUGACGGUAAUGGGUAAAGAAGCACCGGCUAACUACGUG